rnacentral:rRNA from 1 species
AGUGAACGCUGGCGGUAGGCCUAACACAUGCAAGUCGAACGGCAGCACAGUAAGAGCUUGCUCUUACGGGUGGCGAGUGGCGGACGGGUGAGGAAUACAUCGGAAUCUACUUUUUCGUGGGGGAUAACGUAGGGAAACUUACGCUAAUACCGCAUACGACCUACGGGUGAAAGCAGGGGAUCUUCGGACCUUGCGCGAUUGAAUGAGCCGAUGUCGGAUUAGCUAGUUUGCGGGGUAAAGGCCCACCAAGGCGACGAUCCGUAGCUGGUCUGAGAGGAUGAUCAGCCACACUGUAACUGAGACACGGUCCAGACACCUACGGGGGGCAGCAGUGGGGAAUAUUGGACAAUGGGCGCAAGCCUGAUCCAGCCAUACCGCGUGGAUGAAGAAGGCCUUCGGGUUGUAAAGCCCUUUUGUUGGGAAAGAAAUGCAGCAGGUUAAUACCCCGCUGUUCUGACGGUACCCAAAGAAUAAGCACCGGCUAACUUCGUG